GCCAAUGUGGUACAGUGGUUUGAGCACUGGGUUUUGAUUCUGGAGAUCAGGGUUCAAAUCCUUGCUAUUCCA